rnacentral:rRNA from 1 species
GAUGAACGCUGGCGGCGUGCCUAAUACAUGCAAGUCGAGCGAAUGGAUUAAGAGCUUGCUCUUAUGAAGUUAGCGGCGGACGGGUGAGUAACACGUGGGUAACCUGCCCAUAAGACUGGGAUAACUCCGGGAAACCGGGGCUAAUACCGGAUAACAUUUUGAACCGCAUGGUUCGAAAUUGAAAGGCGGCUUCGGCUGUAACUUAUGGAUGGAUCCGCGUCGCAUUAGCAAGUUGGUGAGGUAACGGCUCACCAAGGCAACGAGGCGUAGCCGACCUGAGAGGGUGAUCGGCCACACUGGGACUGAGACACGGCCCAGACUCCUACGGGAGGCAGCAGUAGGGAAUCUUCCGCAAUGGACGAAAGUCUGACGGAGCAACGCCGCGUGAGUGAUGAAGGCUUUCGGGUCGUAAAACUCUGUUGUUAGGGAAGAACAAGUGCUAGUUGAAUAAGCUGGCACCUUGACGGUACCUAACCAGAAAGCCACGGCUAACUACGUGCCAGCCGCCGCAGUAA